rnacentral:tRNA from 1 species
AAAUUUAUAGUAAAAGGAAAAUCCGUUGAUUUAAAAAAUCGUGAGGG